UACGUAGGGUGCAAGCGUUAAUCGGAAUUACUGGGCGUAAAGCGUGCGCAGGCGGUUAUGUAAGACAGGUGUGAAAGCCCCGGGCUCAACCUGGGAACUGCAUUGGAAACUAGCGGGCUGGAGUGUGGCAGAGGGGGGUGGAAUUCCACGUGUAGCAGUGAAAUGCGUAGAGAUGUGGAGGAACACCGAUGGCGAAGGCAGCCCCCUGGGCUAACACUGACGCUCAUGCACGAAAGCGUGGGGAGCAAACAGG
rnacentral:rRNA from 1 species